UACGUAGGGUGCAAGCGUUAAUCGGAAUUACUGGGCGUAAAGCGCGCGCAGGCGGCCUUUUAAGUCUCGUGGUGAAAUGCCGGGGCUCAACCCCGUGCCCGCCGGAGAUACUGGGAGGCUGGAGACGAGUAGAGGCAAGCGGAAUUCCGGGUGUAGCGGUGGAAUGCGUAGAGAUCCGGAAGAACACCGGAGGCGAAGGCGGCUUGCUGGGCUCGGUCUGACGCUGAGGCGCGAAAGCGUGGGGAGCGAACAGG
rnacentral:rRNA from 1 species